rnacentral:rRNA from 1 species
UACGUAGGGUGCAAGCGUUGUCCGGAAUUAUUGGGCGUAAAGAGCGUGUAGGCGGCCCGAUUAGUCCGCUGUGAAAGUCCAGGGCUCAACCCUGGAAUGCCGGUGGAUACUGUCGGGCUAGAGUUCGGGAGAGGCGAGUGGAAUUCCUGGUGUAGCGGUGGAAUGCGCAGAUAUCAGGAGGAACACCUAAGGCGAAGGCAGCUCGCUGGAACGUUACUGACGCUGAGGCGCGAAAGCGUGGGGAGCGAACAGG